AUUAUUCUGGGUUGAAUCUGGAAAAAUGACUUUUUGCCCUUUGGCAUGGCAACACGGCAAUCGGAAAUCCUAGAGCCCUAACCCAUACCGCUUCGCACACUGUUUCAGUUCCUUUCACAAUAUACAUGUAGCAACACUGAGAACGUGUAUGAAGUGAUUAUGGCUUUAUUUCAAUGCACGUUGUGGUGAAGCUUGUACGCAUGAAGCGCCGUCUGGCGCCGCUUUGGGUACUGCAGCUCCAGUACACCUGCCUCAUGAUUAGCAUAACAAAGGCUGCCGUGAGUCGCCAUCACGCGACUAACCCGGAAGUCAGGCACGGUUUCACAACUAAAAGAGGAGCUUCUUUUUCUUGCCGGUUUCUCCGGACAACAGAACUUCGCAAAAUUCACAAAAGAACACCUUAAGAGAACGAAAAACUACUUCACAGCCUCCUAGACUUGGCCUAACGGAUUUGCGGCACCACUGGGAGGCACCGGUGUGUCUGGCUACAGCAGAAAACACAUGGAAGAGAAGGAAAAGAAUGAGAAGACAGCAGAAGAGAUUGCAGCAAUUAAGAAAGCGCGGAAGCUGUUCCAGUUUUCCAAAGGUAAGAUCCGGACAGACGAUGUUUGAAGCAGCUCAACAUUUGGUGAGACGUAUCUUUUCAGUGAACACAUGUAUAUAUAUUAUUUAUGUAUAUAUCAGGACAUCAAUAAAGUUUAUCUUUUGUCAUUG